rnacentral:rRNA from 1 species
UACAGAGGUCCCAAGCGUUGUUCGGAUUCAUUGGGCGUAAAGGGUGUGUAGGUGGCGCCGUAAGUCGGGUGUGAAAUCUCGGGCUUAACUCCGAAACUGCAUUCGAUACUGCGGUGCUUGAGGACUGGAGAGGAGACUGGAAUUCAUGGUGUAGCAGUGAAAUGCGUAGAGAUCAUGAGGAAGACCAGUGGCGAAGGCGGGUCUCUGGACAGUUCCUGACACUGAGACACGAAGGCCAGGGAGCAAACGGG